rnacentral:rRNA from 1 species
AGUAACGCGUGAGCAACCUGCCUAUGACAGUGGGAUAGCCUCGGGAAACCGGGAUUAAUACCGCAUAAAAUCGUAGAAACACAUGUUUCAACGGUCAAAGAUUUAUCGGUCAUAGAUGGGCUCGCGUCUGAUUAGCUAGUUGGUGAGAUAACAGCCCACCAAGGCGACGAUCAGUAGCCGGUCUGAGAGGAUGAACGGCCACAUUGGAACUGAGACACGGUCCAAACUCCUACGGGAGGCAGCAGC